rnacentral:rRNA from 1 species
AGAGUUUGAUCCUGGCUCAGGAUGAACGCUAGCGACAGGCUUAACACAUGCAAGUCGAGGGGCAGCACAGGUAGCAAUACCGGGUGGCGACCGGCGCACGGGUGAGUAACGCGUAUGCAACUUACCUAUCAGAGGGGGAUAACCCGGCGAAAGUCGGACUAAUACCGCAUGAAGCAGGGGCCCCGCAUGGGGAUAUUUGCUAAAGAUUCAUCGCUGAUAGAUAGGCAUGCGUUCCAUUAGGCAGUUGGCGGGGUAACGGCCCACCAAACCGACGAUGGAUAGGGGUUCUGAGAGGAAGGUCCCCCACAUUGGUACUGAGACACGGACCAAACUCCUACGGGAGGCAGCAGUGAGGAAUAUUGGUCAAUGGGCGUAAGCCUGAACCAGCCAAGUCGCGUGAGGGAUGAAGGUUCUAUGGAUCGUAAACCUCUUUUAUAAGGGAAUAAAGUGCGGGACGUGUCCCGUUUUGUAUGUACCUUAUGAAUAAGGAUCGGCUAACUCCGUGCCAGCAGCCGCGGUAAUACGGAGGAUCCGAGCGUUAUCCGGAUUUAUUGGGUUUAAAGGGUGCGUAGGCGGCCUUUUAAGUCAGCGGUGAAAGUCUGUGGCUCAACCAUAGAAUUGCCGUUGAAACUGGGGGGCUUGAGUAUGUUUGAGGCAGGCGGAAUGCGUGGUGUAGCGGUGAAAUGCUUAGAUAUCACGCAGAACCCCGAUUGCGAAGGCAGCCUGCCAAGCCAUGACUGACGCUGAUGCACGAAAGCGUGGGGAUCAAACAGGAUUAGAUACCCUGGUAGUCCACGCAGUAAACGAUGAUCACUAGCUGUUUGCGAUACACUGUAAGCGGCACAGCGAAAGCGUUAAGUGAUCCACCUGGGGAGUACGCCGGCAACGGUGAAACUCAAAGGAAUUGACGGGGGCC